GAGGUGAGCGCAAUGGGUCAGUGCGUCCAGCUGUUAACCAGAAGGUUGGUGGUUCAAGCCCACUCAGGAACA
rnacentral:tRNA from 1 species